CGCAGCCUGCUGAAGCCUGGGCUUGUGCUAUGAGCAGCAAUCAAACUAUGACAUCCUGAUUCAUAGGUCAACGCUCAACCACUG